rnacentral:rRNA from 1 species
UUACAAUGAAACGCAAGUCGAUUGAAUUUAGUGGCGGACGGGUGAGUAACGCGUGGAUAACCUAGCCUUAAUGACCGGGAUAACACCGGGAAACUGGUGCUAAUACGGGAUACGCUCAAGUGAACACAUGUUGUUUGAGGAAAGGAGCAAUCCGCAUUAAGAUGGGUCCGCGUCCCAUUAGCUAGUUGGAGGUGUAAGAGACCCCCCAAGGCGACGAUCGGGUAGCCGGCCUGAGAGGGUGAACGGCCACACUGGAACUGAGACACGGUCCAGACUCCUACGGGAGGCAGCAGUGGGGAAUCUUCCGCAAUGGGCGAAAGCCUGACGGAGCAACGCCGCGUGAAUGAUGAAGGUCCUUCGGGUUGUAAAAUUCUGUCUUCAGGGAAGAAACAAAUGACGGUACCUGAGGAGGAAGCCCCGGCUAACUACGUGCCAGCAGCAGC